UACGGAGGGUGCGAGCGUUGUCCGGAAUCACUGGGCGUAAAGGGCGCGUAGGCGGCGCGGAUAGUCGGCGGUGAAAGCCCGGAGCUCAACUCCGGGUCGGCCGUCGAUACUUCCGGGCUUGAGCACUGUAGAGGCAGAUGGAAUUCCGGGUGUAGCGGUGGAAUGCGUAGAGAUCCGGAAGAACACCGGUGGCGAAGGCGGUCUGCUGGGCAGUUGCUGACGCUGAUGCGCGACAGCGUGGGGAGCAAACCGGGAU
rnacentral:rRNA from 1 species